CGCUUCAACACCAGGAACAACUUGAAAGGAAUGACUCACAGUUCCCAGCAGCGAUGCCAGUUCAUGUGCUAGGAUUCUGACCACAAGUGUAAUGAUCAGGCCAGGGAGUCAGAUUUCUGCUGGACUUAGAAAAGCAUCUAUGUUUAUGAAAGGAACACAAUGGGCUGGUGACAAGUACUGUGGCUCUUGGAGGAUCCCCAUCCACCUCUUCACCCCAGCCAGGAGCGUGGCUCUGGAAGGACAUAGGCGGUCAGCAGAGAGGAGUAUAAAAGGGGUUGAGAGAGGCCUGGGUGAUCCACUCCGAGAGCUGAGAGUGAAGCCACAAGCUGUGGAAUUUCCUUCUGACAACCAGCCCAACGAACGGACCCCAGG
rnacentral:lncRNA from 1 species